AUUAAGAACUGUAAUCUGCGACAUCAAGUGGGGUGAGAAAAACUGCUUGAUCCAAAUACUGCUCAGUCUAAUAAGAUUCAAAAUUUAGACUGCAUGCUUACCUUUUAUUGUCUUUGGUAAUUAUCUCUGACCUUUCAUGCCUACCACUUAUAAUCACUUAAAAUCUAUCUUUCUGUAGUUAACAAAUCUGUUUUAUAUUUUACCUAAAACUGUGUUUUGGUAGAAGUGCUUGGGAAAUCUCAGCUCAGUUUACAAAAGCUAGCGUGUGGCCUCUCCAUAUCGAGGGAGGGGCAGACUGGAUAAUGAACUUACUCUAGUCAGGCUUCUGACCAGGGCUGGAUGGUACAAUCCUGGGUAAAAGGCUGGAGGCUUGGGAGAUCUGCUGGUGCCUUUCUCUGUGUGAUUCCUGAAUGGCUUAUGGAGCAAUCAUGCAAUUUAGCAGGGUGUCAGGCUCCACAAGCUGUUGUACUGAGUGAUAACAGCGCCUGGAGGAGUUUGUGGUUUGUCACUAGCAAAGCACUGUGAGAAAGAGCCCAGACUGGAGAGUUAAGGGGGCACAGCAGUACCCCAGUUCCAGGCUGCACCCCAGGGAUCCCAUCACACACCCCAAUUAUUCCUCAUAACAGGAAGUUUCUUCUUCAGCGCUGUGGAAGAAAAAUAUUCUUCUACAGAGAAUUCCAUAAACUGCACUCUUUCAAAAUGGCUGCACUAUUCUCAAUGGGAUUGAAGCCAUAGGCUGCCCUCAGGUGGCCAUUUUGACACAGGCAUCUAUCUCCUAUUAUUCUCAAAUGGCGCUGAGACUGUAUUUAUACAGGACUGAGGCUGUGUCUACACUGCCCUGCAGUUUGGACGAAAAGGAGUAUGACCAGCCAAAAGUGCUGCAAUGUAACUCCCCCAUGUGGACACUGUGGGUGCAAACUAAAAGAUUCCUAAUUUGUAUUAAUGUAGUCCUCUUUGAAAAGUCCAAACUCUGAGGCAGCAUACCCAAGCUCUAAGUGUUCCUCUCCACCUCCUAGCAGCUCAGGGCCACCAGCUGAAGGCAAGAUGGUUUUACUCUCACUCAGCAUAAGAGGAUGCACUAUUUUGAAAGAGAGCAAUUUUUUAGGUAUUUCUCUGAAGGACAAAAUAUUAUGCACAAGCCUCUGCUGACAAAUGAAUAUUCAGUUAUGAAAUACAAUGGCAAAAAGUGACCUUUAAUGCUAAAUAUUUAUUUUCCAGAUCUACUCAGCAAGAGGGCAGGAGUGAAAAGGGAACCAUGUUUGUGUGCAAGUAGGCACACACGUAAGCAGAGCGAGGGAGAAAUGGGGUGUAUGCACAUGUGCAGAGGAACGUAGAGAAGUAGAAGAGGAGGGGGAAUUUGGAGGAUAGGAAGGAGGAGGAAACUGUGAUGUAAUUCCCCAUUUGCUUUUAGUUAUUCUGGUGAAACAAAGUGGCUAUAGACACUGUUUAACUGGCCAGGAUGCUCUGGCUGCAUCAUACUACUGCAGACUAGAGUAAAGCAAUCAGGACAUACUAGUGCAUCUGGCUAUAAAAAGUUAAAAUUGUUUAAAAAAAUAUUUAAAAGCUGGUAAUUCUAAUGAUUUGAAGACAUGAAGUAUCACACAGUUUUAUCUUUGAGUUUUUUGGUUAGAGUUAAUGUAUUGAAUUUAAAAAACAAAACCAGAUAUUCCAGAAAAAAUUAUAUUAAGUAGGUUAAGAGUAUAUAUCAGUAAUGUAGGGUCAGUUAUAUUAAAGGAUGUUGUAAUUAUUCCCAACCAAAUUGUUGUAAAUCCAGGAAAUUCAGAGUUAAAAGUUAAAUUUAACAGAAAGCCAAACAUGUUAAGUUAUGGAAAUGCAGUUAGGGCACCUCAAUUCUGCCCUGUAGUGACACCGAGAAAGAGAGAGAGAGAGAAAUCUAGAAUGUCUUUAAAAGUCAGUUUAAUAUAAUCUAAGAUCACUGACACUAAAAUGCCUUAAUAGCAUGCAUAUAGUUGUUGCACAGAGCCACUGAAGGGCAGAACUAGCUUGUCUGGGAAUGCUGUUAGGGUCUGAUCCAAAGCCUAUUGAAGCUAAUGGGAAUCUGUUGACUUCAGAGGACUUUGGCUCAGGCCCCACGACAGAACAAGAUCUCAAACUUUAUCCUAGGGUUAGCUCACCAACCAUCCCAGUUUCUGUUGCUGACUGCAGCUCCAUAGAAUCUUUCAGUAGUCUUCUCGCCAAGUUUUAGAGAGUUUCAAGUUUGCAUCAACUUAGUUCUUUAUUAACUAGCCUUGACUUAACUAUGACAUCAUAUGUUAACUCAUAAAAGGGAGGAUAAGUGCUGGCAGAGCAACUGUAUAUUAAUCACCAAGAUUCCCUUAAAGGGAAGUAAAACUGUGCUAAAUACUAUGUCAAUUAUUAAUAUUUGAUAUGGAAUUGAAAUGCUGGUAAAAAGCAACUUUAACACUAAGAACUCUAACAAGUAAAUAGUGAGCAGCUUUCAAGGUUAACACUUUCUGUCAGGCACCUUUGAAAAAAGUCAAUUUAUUAUGCCAAAAUGGCUUCUUCCAACAACAAUCAUGUGAGAGCUGAUGAGGAUGCAAAUGUAGGCUGAGUCAUGUGUUGUGUGGCUAUACCUUCAAAGGAACAUUUGGAAAAAUAAGUGUAACAGUAGCAUAAACAGAAACCCAAACUUGUUUACACAAGGGAAACUAUUGCAAUAGUGAAUAUCUUUAAAAUAUAUAGGUCAUUCUAUAUGAAUGUGUCAUAUGCUCUCAAAAGGGAUGUCUGUAAACAUCUUCGUUUGCUUGCCUGGGAUUGAUGAACAGGCUAACACCUUGGAACAUCAAAAGGAUCACUGACUAAAACUUGGGGAUUGGAGAUACCUGAGGAGGAAGGAUGGAUAGAUGACAGUUAUCUGGAGCGGAAAGACUGUUUCACUGCCAACCUGCUCAGUAAAAGCAGCAGAGGAGAAAGAGAGAAGCUCACCAGAGAGGAUGUGUUCUUCAUAAAUUGUAAUGUCCUUAAUUGUACCUACCUAUGUUGUUUAGAAAUUAAGAAUAAGUAUGUUAUGCAGGCUGUUUCUUUGGAGUUAAACUGGAUUUUCUCUCUCUCUCUACUUCAUAUAUUUUAUUUUUGAUCAGACCAAUUAAGUCAUGUUUUACAGUAUGUCUUUGAAAGGAAGGCAACAUUCUGACAAAGUGCCACCCAAUGACCGGUUGGCUGAUGACAAGAAACGGCAGGAACAGGUUACACUUACUAGUAACUGAUUUCACUUUGUUUAGUUUUUAUAUUACAGCAGUUGCACUGGUAGGAACAGCUAUAGUUAAUAUUAUAAAACAAUUCCCAUUAUAAACUAGGGAUUUCUACUCUUGGUUUCUGAUUUUACUCCUUUACAAUGUUUAUUUCAGGCUACUUUAGUGCCUUGUAACUUUCUACAAAAAAUAUCUUUUAUAGGUCUAUUUAAACUAACUGCAUACAUCUGAGCAGACAUUAUUUCAAUAGAAAUAGAAAUUAGAACUGAAGUUUUUUAAAGUCUAUUUUUUGAAUCCUAUGUUCCCAUUCUGUGUAACCACACUAUAAAAGGCUGCUUACUGUGCUGCCACUGCAGCCAAGAAAUGAGGCUUGCAGAACCUGAGCAGAAAGUGAAACAGCUUGUAAUUUCCAGAGGACAAUUGGAGCAGGAUAUCACCUCCACUAAAAGAAUCAUUAAAAGAAUUUUGCUAUUUUGUACGGUUUACUUUAUAUUUUUAAAAAUAGACUUACAAUUAUAAUACGUAUUUCUUGGUUGAUUCUGGAUUAUACCAAAAACCUGAAUUGCUAGCUUAGAAUUUAGCGAACAGCACAAUGGAUCUAUUUUUAAUGGCCCAUAUACCCUACAAGCAUAGUGCUGGCACAUAAUUCUCUGCCGCAGUUAGUGGUGUCUGUGUUAUAACACUGUUUUUUACUGCUAGAGUGGAGCUAAAGUAGAUCUGUAACCAUGCUGAGAAACAGUAUUUUAUAUUCCCUACUGACCUUAAACAUUUCCCUUUAUUUAAAAAAAACAAAAAACAGUGUAAGUUAUGGGUCCCAACAGCAAUAUUAAUACAGUCACAUUGCUGGAAUCUUAACUUUUGCAUAAUUGACUCCUUGUAUUUCUAACUAUGCAACCUUAACAGCACUUUAACAUUAUAUGGUAUUUUAUUAAAUGUUAUUUUGAUUAAUUUAUUUUGUUUUCUUAGUGCCUGAUGUGUCUGUAGAGGAUUGGAAGCAAUUUAUCAACCUUGGGCCAAAUUGUGCCUGGCCCUGAUAUGAGUGUAAAGCAUGUGCAAUUGCGCAUAUGCAUAACCCCCCUGCCCACCCUAAAUCAAGACUUGUCUACAGUUACAGUGCUGCAGCAGCAGGUGCAGCUGUAGCACUUAGUGAACAUGCUACCUAUGCCAACGGGAGACCUUCUUCCACUGGCACAGGUACUUCACCUCCCAAAGAGGCAGCUGCUAUGUUGAUGCGAGAAGCCCUCCUGUUGACAUACUAUCUACACUGAGAGUUAGGUCGGUAAAAUCCACAUCCCUGAGUGACAAUUAUGCCAACAUAAAUUUGUAGUGUAGACCAGCGCUAAAGACAAAGCAGAAAUCAGUCCCUUUCUUCACAGCUCUGACCUCAAAACACAGAGUAGCUGGCUGCAGGAGGAAAAGACAGAUGCACCCAAAGAAGAAGAGCAAUAGCAAGAGGUGCAGCCUCUGCAUUCCCCAAAGACAGAAGGUCACCAGUGCUCCUUUCGGGGUAGUGUGGCUGAGAUCUACCCCUUAUUGUAGGCUGUGUCUAAAAGGUACAAACUAAGCCUCAGACUACUACACUUUCCCCAUACCAAUCUCCUAAGCAAAAAACACUUUUUGAAAUAAUAAAAGGCAACUCUUAAUAGAAAAUAUUUGCGUGGAGAAUUGUCAGGGAUUCAGAGAUACGUUUCACUUGAACCAGCCAAUCAAUGACUUCUGAUUUGAUACUAUCUGUCCUAGCUUCACUGAUCGUUGUUUCAUGAUGUAGUUUGUGUAAAUCAACUUUUAAUUACUCAUCUUUAUAAAAUUAAAACAAACAAGGGAUUAAAAAAUGCAGUCUGUUGUGCAAUUAAUGUUAUUUCCAAAAGAGAGAGGAUAAUAUAUGGUAUUCUGUGAAGACAUUUAUUAAACAAAAGAAAAAUCUACACAACCUAAUGUGGAGUUUCCUUUGUAGAACCACUUUAUAUGUGGUCAAGUCUUCUUGUAUGCAAUACAAUAUUACUGAAGUAAACAGAGUUCUAGAAGUUCAGAACCUCCAACGUCAGAUAAUAUAUUGUACAUGCUCUAUGAUGGCACGUGAUGUUCUGUUGUGUCAUAGCCAUGAAACUAUAGCCCUUUUCAAUCUAACUGAGAACAGUGUCUUCCAUGAACACUGUAGAUAUUCUUUAGAGUCUUCUUAGAUAAAACUAAAAUUUUCUUUUGCCAUUUUAUAAUGUAUUAUCUUCCACCGCUCCUGAAUCAGGAGAGAUCAGACUAAAAAAGAUAGUUUCCACAGUGUGAUGUAUAAGCUAUAGGCAAGCACUUCAGACAGUUAACCACAGCAAUGUCUCCAUCAAACCAGAUACACAUAAGGCCUCAGAUAUCAUAUUCAGUCCUUACAAGAAAAUCCUAUUCUUUCCACAAUCAUGCAGCACAGAAACUAAUAUCACUUUAUAAUCUCUACUCCUUACACAUUUGUUACUCAUUUUUGGGGCGGGGGGGGGGGAAGGGGGAUGUGGCUGGUUGAAUAAGAGACCUAUCUGUAACUCAGCGAAGAAAGUGCAAAUCUUACCUGUAGUUUCUUGUAUGUAGUGGGGUGAUCUUAAAUUAGUCUCUUGAAUCCUAGAUGAAUUUUUCUUUUUUACAGUUUUUGCAGAAGCAUCCCAUCUACAUGUUGGAUAUUUUUUACAGUAAAAAAAAAAGGAAAAGCAUCAUAAAAAGACUAAAAAUAACAUCUCCAGGUUAAGCCAAUUUUUAGAGAUGUAACACCAGCAGCACCAAAAUAAUAAGCCAGAUAUGAUAACCCUGUCAUAAUUGAUAACUGCUUCUUAUGGAAAAGUGAUUUGCCUGCAGGAUGACUGUACUUUUUGAAGGACAUAUGGAUGUUUCUAGACAUAUGAUUUAUUCCUUAAUUGAUGGUGAGAUUAAGAAUUCUCCAAAUCAAAAUGAUAAAUUAACAAAAGAGAGCAAAGUAAAUUUAGUUACUAUUUCUCUUCUGCCAUGGCUUCCCCACAGCAGCAGGAGCUUCAGCUGUCAUCCCAAGAAGUAGUCUUUCACUGCCUUAGAUUUCCAGGGACUUUACUACAGCCAUUUUGUUUUAAGAUAAUUAAUCCAAGGACAACCUGGAGCUCAGUUUGGUUCUCCAA